CCAAUAGCGUAUAUUAAAGUUGUUGCAGUUAAAAAGCUCGUAGUUGAACUUCGGGGUUUGCUCAUUGGUCAGGCUUAAUUGUCUGCACUGGUGGGAUAAAUCUCUACCUUCUGAGGAACUUUCAUGCCAUUUAUUUGGUGUGAUGGGAAAUCAGGACUGUUACUUUGAAAAAAUUAGAGUGUUUAAAGCAGACUAACGUCUGAAUACAUUAGCAUGGAAUAAUGAAAUAGGACGGACUGAUUCUAUUUCGUUGGUUUCUAGGAUCACCGUAAUGAUUAAUAGGGAUAGUUGGGGGCAUUAGUAUUCAAUUGUCAGAGGUGAAAUUCUUGGAUUUAUUGAAGACUAACUACUGCGAAAGCAUUUGCCAAGGAUGUUUUCAUUAAUCAAGAACGAAAGUUAGGGGAUCGAAGACGAUCAGAUACCGUCGUAGUCUUAACCAUAAACUAUGCCGACUAGGGAUCGGACGAAGUUAAUUUUAUAAUGACGCGUUCGGCACCUUACG
rnacentral:rRNA from 1 species